rnacentral:lncRNA from 1 species
UAUAUAUAUAUAUAUAUAUCAGGGGACCACUGUGGUCAGGUCACACCGGACAGCGUCAUUAGAGUUGACUUGUCACAGGCACUUUACACAGAUAAGUGGCUGAGUCAUCAGCGUUAGAUAAUAUAAAUCAUAAGUGGAGUUGAGAGGGUCACAUUGCCUAAGGUAAUCGACCGUGACCCAGAAAAUCCCAAUGUAUGCUAUGGCCAACCUUUCCCAGACUCGGUUAUUGACCUGCUGUAAGCAUUUUGGGACCAGACCCAAAAUAUUCAGGAGAUAUAAUUUGUGAAUCACUGUUUGGUGAAGAGAAAAUUCAGAAUCGAUAUUGAAUAUCCAGAAGAAUGUUACACAGUACUAAUCUAAAAGAAGUCUUGUAAAUUUAAAACAAUAUGUCUCGAUAUAUUAAAAUAAUUUCUAUUCUGUGAUUGUCUGUGAACAAGGAUAAUUAAAGUUAUAAUGAUUUAUUUUAUUGAUAACAAAGAUCUUUAGUCCUAUACUGUUUCCAUCCAAUUGUUGCCCAACACAUAAUCAACAAGGAAUCACAAAGUGGCACUUAGGAAGCCAGGAAAGGACCAAAUAUUCUACAGUGUUAGUAAAAGAUGUGGACUUACUUCAUAUCUACUGACAUCAAGCCUGAUAAUCUUUUAAUUAAACAUUUAUGUUUGACAGCUUUUUGGUUGAUAUUAGAGUUGUUCAUGUUGUAUGAAGACUAACGGGUGUGAUAUUAGAGUUGUUCAUGUUGCAUGAAGACUAACGGGUGUGAUGUUAGAGUUGUUCAUGUUGUAUGAAGACUAACAGGUGUGAUGUUAGAGUUGUUCAUGUUGUAUGAAGACUAACAGGUGUGAUGUUAGAGUUGUUCAUGUUGUAUGAAGACUAACGGGUGUGAUGUUAGAGUUGUUCAUGUUGUAUGAAGACUAACAGGUGUGAUGUUAGAGUUGUUCAUGUUGUAUGAAGACUAACAGGUGUGAUGUUAGAGUUGUUCAUGUUGUAUGAAGACUAACAGGUGUGAUGUUAGAGUUGUUCAUGUUGUAUGAAGACUAACGGGUGUGAUAUUAGAGUUGUUCAUGUUGUAUGAAGACUGACAGGUGUGAUGUUAGAGUUGUUCAUGUUGUAUGAAGACUAAGGGUGUGAUAUUAGAGUUGUUCAUGUUGUAUGAAGACUAACAGGUGUGACGUUAGAGUUGUUCAUAUUGUAUGAAGACUAACGGGUGUGAUGUUAGAUUUGUUCAUGUUGUAUGAAGACUAACAGGGGUGAUGUUAGAGUUGUUCAUGUUGUAUGAAGACUAACAGGUGUGAUGUUAGAGUUGUUCAUGUUGUAUGAAGACUAACAGGUGUGAUGUUAGAGUUGUUCAUGUUGUAUGAAGACUAACGGGUGUGAUGUUAGAUUUGUUCAUGUUGUAUGAAGACUGACAGGUGUGAUGUUAGAGUUGUUCAUGUUGUAUGAAGACUAACGGGUGUGAUGUUAGAUUUGUUCAUGUUGUAUGAAGACUAACAGGUGUGAUGUUAGAGUUGUUCAUGUUGUAUGAAGACUAACAGGUGUGAUGUUAGAGUUGUUCAUGGUGUAUGAAGACUAACAGGUGUGAUGUUAGAGUUGUUCAUGUUGUAUGAAGACUAGCGGGUGUGAUGUUAGAGUUCAUGUUGUAUGAAGACUAACGGGUGUGAUGUUAGAGUUGUUCAUGUUGUAUGAAGACUAACAGGUGUGAUGUUAGAGUUGUUCAUGUUGUAUGAAGACUAACGGGUGUGAUGUUAGAGUUGUUCAUGUUGUAUGAAGACUAACGGGUGUGAUGUUAGAGUUGUUCAUGGUGUAUGAAGACUAACGGGUGUGAUGUUAGAGUUGUUCAUGUUGUAUGAAGACUAACGGGUGUGAUGUCAGUAUCUUAACAGUACUGUAUGUAAGAUGAUACUGUUUUUGUAGCAGAACCUCACCAUUUAUAUUACAUUUACUCCAACCAAUAGAAAUAAGAUAUUUUUACCCCAGUCUUACUUGGGGAUUCCAUUUUUUACUUGGCCCAAAUUUUUAUUUUUUCAUAACAAUAAUAAUAGUGAAGAAGAAAAUCCAGGAAUCUACAAAUUAUGAAGAGAGUUUCAUGGUGGUAUCUAAAAUACAUGAAAACAGUAACUUGUAUGUCCAUGUAACUUCUUGAUGACUUUUAGUUUUUACACCAUUUGUUGAUCAUGAAGUUUGGAGUGAAAGAGAUUUAAAAAAAAAAAAAAAAUCGUAAGUGACAAUGACGCUUGAUUUAUUCUAUAACACAAAAGUUUAUAAGAAAUAUGAAAAACAUUCAGGCGGAAAUAAUAUUGUAACUGGAAAACAACUGUUCUAUCUCUUAUAAUAUUUAGUUGUUGAUGGGCUGGUGUAACAUUACAGCGCUAACACCUAACGAAUCGUGAAACUGGUGUAUGAUUGCCCGUUAUCACCAAAAAAUUAACAAAAUUGAUAAAAACAAUUGAACAAAAUAAAUAUUUAAGCAAACAAUAUUUGCGAGAAUCCUAUAUAACAUCAAGUUAAUAUAAUUUAUAAACUCAGCACACAAUUUUAGUACAAGAUAACAACAGAAAUGUUGCUCUUUCCUCAAAUUACGUUUUAGCUUGUCACUCAUAAUGAACUUGUGUAGGGCCUAUGAUUUGAUUUUACAGUGUUUUAUGUUUGUAAGCUGUAGGUUGUGUUGGAAGAGGUUUAAGCAAGGAUAUACUGUAGUAGCUGGUCACUAUCUUUGCCUUUAGUAAAGUCAAAGCCAUAUUAUUAGUCAACGAGGAAUAUGAAGCCUAUUCCCUAAAAUAGAGAAGACAAAUUUAUAUAGCUACGAAAAGAUAAGCUUCUUUAAUUUACUUAACUCUCUUUUGAUUAUGAAGGCUUAAAUGUUCUACCUAUUAUCUAAGAAAUAAUGAUGACUAAUAGUUUUCAGAAUUUACAAAGAUUGGUUACGCUACCAACCAACGACCUUGCUUUUACCGUAGUCACCUAUAUAACUGAAUCACUGAUUUCCGUUUAUGUUUUUUGGGUUUUCACUUCAUAGUUUACAUUGCACGCUUUUUUUUAAUUGGAGAUGUGCUUGCUUGCUCUUACCUUCCAGCUAAAGCGGUAUUAGCCUCUGCUUAAAUGCCUUACCCCGUGCUAUGAUCUAAGUCGAAUUACGAACAUGUCCGUAGUAAUGCUACAGCACAGAUAGAUAUAGAUGUAAUCACCCACAAUACAGUAUACUGUAAAUACCUAAGUUGUCAAGUUAUGUAUUUUGUUCAUGUGAAAGAGUUAGCUCAAUGACGUUGAAGUCUAUAGAGAAAAAAUAUAUAUACUGUAUAUGAAUAAUG